UACGUAGGGGGCAAGCGUUGUCCGGAUUUAUUGGGCGUAAAGGGCGCGUAGGCGGCUUGUACAGUCAGACGUGAAAUUCCUGGGCUCAACCUGGGGGCUGCGUUUGAUACGUGCGGGCUUGAGUUCGGAAGAGGGUCGUGGAAUUCCCAGUGUAGAGGUGAAAUUCGUAGAUAUCAGGAAGAACACCUAUGGCGAAGGCAGCUCUCUGGGACGGUACUGACGCUGAGACGCGAAAGCGUGGGGAGCGAACAGG
rnacentral:rRNA from 1 species